rnacentral:rRNA from 1 species
CAGUCGCCGCGGUAAUACGAAGGGGGCUAGCGUUGUUCGGAUUUACUGGGCGUAAAGGGCGCGUAGGCGGACUGAUAAGUCAGGGGUGAAAUCCCAAGGCUCAACCUUGGAACUGCCUUUGAUACUGUUUGUCUUGAGUUCGAGAGAGGUAAGUGGAACUGCGAGUGUAGAGGUGAAAUUCGUAGAUAUUCGCAAGAACACCAGUGGCGAAGGCGGCUUACUGGCUCGAAACUGACGCUGAGGCGCGAAAGCGUGGGGAGCAAACAGGAUUAGAUACCCCCGUAGUCCCUGUCUCUUAUAC